UGGGGAAUUUUGGACAAUGGGCGAAAGCCUGAUCCAGCAAUGCCGCGUGUGUGAAGAAGGCCUUCGGGUUGUAAAGCACUUUUGUCCGGAAAGAAAUCCUCUGGGUUAAUACCUCGGGGGGAUGACGGUACCGGAAGAAUAAGCACCGGCUAACUACGUGCCAGCAGCCGCGGUAAUACGUAGGGUGCAAGCGUUAAUCGGAAUUACUGGGCGUAAAGCGUGCGCAGGCGGUUUUGUAAGACGGAUGUGAAAUCCCCGGGCUUAACCUGGGAACUGCAUUCGUGACUGCAAGGCUAGAGUAUGGCAGAGGGGGGUUAGAAUUCCACGUGUAGCAGUGAAAUGCGUAGAGAUGUGGAGGAAUACCGAUGGCGAAGGCAGCCCCCUGGGCCAAUACUGACGCUCAUGCACGAAAGCGUGGGGAGCAAACAGGAUUAGAUACCCUGGUAGUCCACGCCCUAAACGAUGUCAACUAGUUGUUGGGGAUUCAUUUCCUUAGUAACGUAGCUAACGCGUGAAGUUGACCGCCUGGGGGAGUAC
rnacentral:rRNA from 1 species